rnacentral:rRNA from 1 species
UACGUUCCCCGGACCUUGCACACACCGCCCGUCAAGCCAUGGAAGCUGGGUGUACCUAAAGUCAGUAACCGCAAGGAGCUGCCUAGGGUAAAACUAGUAACUGGGCU